rnacentral:rRNA from 1 species
CUCACCUUGUCGGUGGAUCACU